AAAUGAAUUGACGGGAACCCGCACAAGUAGUGGAGCGCCUGGUUUAAUUCGAUGAUUAGCGAAGAACCUCACCUGGGCUUGAACUGUAGCUGCGAAUCUCCAGAAAUGGAGACGUCCUUCGAGGGAGCUAUAGAGGUGAUGCAUGGCUGUCGUCAGCUCGUGUCGUGAGAUGUCGGGUUAAGUCCCACAACGAGCGCAACCCCUAUCCUAUGUUAAAAUUUCUUAGGAGACUGCCCUGUUAUAACAGGGAGGAAGGAGGGGAUGACGUCCAGUCAUCAUGUCCCUUAUGUCCAGGGCUACACAGACGCUACAAUGGCAGCUACAAUGGGUCGCGAAACCGCAAGGUGGAGCUAAUCUCAUCAAAAGCUGUCUCAGUUCGGAUUGAAGGCUGCAACUCGCCUUCAUGAAGUUGGAAUUACUAGUAAUCGUGUAUCAGCAUGGCACGGUGAAUACGUUCUCGGGUUUUGUACACACCGCCCGU
rnacentral:rRNA from 1 species